CCGGGGUGGGCGGCGGGGCAGCAGCGGGCGCGGGCAGGCGCGCGGGCAGCGGCGGGAGGCGGUCCUGGGGCAGCGGGUCGUGCGCUGCGCGCAAAGCCAGCGGGAAGGCCUCGGCUAGCUUGGUGUUGUUGGGCAGGCCGUGCACGCGGCUGUCGGGCAGCGGCGUGCGGUGGCGGCACACCGGGCACGCGAUGGCGCCGGGCGGGCAGAGCCAGGGCGGCGGGCGCGGCGGGCGCUCAGGCGCGGCGGCAGCGGCGGCGGCGGCGGCGGCGCGGAGCUGCAGCUGGCUCAGGCACUCCUGGCAGAAGGUGUGCAAGCACGCCAGCAGCUUGGGCGCGCGCCGGUCCGCGUCGAAGUAGUUGUAGCAGAUUUUGCACUCGUAGUCCUCAAGCGGAGGGAGGCCGGAGACCGUCUCCGCUGCGUCCCGGGCUCCUGCGUCUCCGCAGUCCGGGGCUCCCUUCGCGGCGACCCCAGCUCCCUCCCGGCUCCCGGGGCUGCUGCUUGGGCUCUGCUGGCUGCCGCCGCUGUCGCUCGCCGGCGCUGCCAUGGCAUGAUCCGCCCCUCAUCGGGGGCAAGAGCUCACCAGUGAUGUAAUGCGGGACCCGCGCGGGGAGGGGAAACGGCAGCCUCAACCGCCUGGCAGCGGCGGUUUCUUCUCUUCGUGAAAAUCGUGAUCUCAUCUCUCCGUCCAUGGGCGAAAAAACAGCCAUCACCAGGCCAUUCACGCUUUGUGCUUUUGUUAGCAGAGCCCAGGCAGCCCUGCAGCCCACAUCUAGGGUACAAACGGAACGGCGGCGUUUUCCUUGUAUCAUUUAGAGGAAAUUUUUGAGCUGAACAGUAUUUUUUUUCUCCCUCUCUCUCUCUCUGAAAUAUUGCUGAGAUUUAAAGGAGGACGAAGACAACAGAUUCAUAGCUGGGUCUUGCUGUUUUCCUGACGCUGACCACAGCGGAUCUAGGUGGCUAUUUCGUUGGUGCACAGGCGUUCACAGAGGCAGAGAGGGGAGAAAGUUGUCAAACAGAUUCACAGACUGUCAAAGUGCGGCUUAAACCGAGUUCCUGGGCUCCCUCACUGGCUUCGUCCACUUAAACUUUUAACGUACACAUGUAGAGAGCUGAAACUCCAGGGGUAACAUGGGACAGGUCCUCUUGAUUUAAUGAAAACAGAAGAUCAACUGGACCGGGUAGCAAGAAAUAAGGCUUAAGAAGCACUGGUUUCUCUGCAGAAGACAGCAAGAUGCCCCAGGGAAUGUUUGUGAAAAAGGAUGACUGGAUGGGAAGCAAGCUGAAGAAAAAGAAGGAAAGAAAGAGAGAAAUCAGUAAAUCACCACACAAGAGGUGGAGAAGAGGACUUAUAAAUAUUGUUUCUA
rnacentral:lncRNA from 1 species